UACGAAGGGGGCGAGCGUUGUUCGGAUUUACUGGGCGUAAAGGGCGCGUAGGCGGCGAUAUAAGUCAGGCGUGAAAGCCCCGGGCUCAACCUGGGAAUGGCGCUUGGGACUAUGUUGCUGGAGUUCGGGAGAGGAGCGUGGAAUUCCCAGUGUAGAGGUGAAAUUCGUAGAUAUUGGGAAGAACACCGGUGGCGAAGGCGGCGCUCUGGACCGAGACUGACGCUGAGGCGCGAAAGCGUGGGGAGCAAACAGG
rnacentral:rRNA from 1 species